GACGAACGUUGGCGGCGUGCUUAACACAUGCAAGUCGAACGGAAAGGCCCUGCUUUUGUGGGGUGCUCGAGUGGCGAAAGGGUGAGUAACACGUGAGUAACCUGCCCUUGACUUUGGGAUAACUUCAGGAAACUGGGGCUAAUACCGGAUAGGAGCUCCUGCUGCAUGGUGGGGGUUGGAAAGUUUCGGCGGUUGGGGAUGGACUCGCGGCUUAUCAGCUUGUUGGUGGGGUAGUGGCUUACCAAGGCUUUGACGGGUAGCCGGCCUGAGAGGGUGACCGGCCACAUUGGGACUGAGAUACGGCCCAGACUCCUACGGGAGGCAGCAGUGGGGAAUAUUGCACAAUGGGCGGAAGCCUGAUGCAGCAACGCCGCGUGCGGGAUGACGGCCUUCGGGUUGUAAACCGCUUUCGCCUGUGACGAAGCGUGGGUGACGGUAAUGGGUAAAGAAGCACCGGCUAACUACGUG
rnacentral:rRNA from 1 species